rnacentral:rRNA from 1 species
AUUGAACGCUGGCGGCAGGCCUAACACAUGCAAGUCGAACGGUAACAGGGAUCAGCUUGCUGAUUCGCUGACGAGUGGCGGACGUGUGAGUAAUGUCUGGGAAACUGCCUGAUGGAGGGGGAUAACUACUGGAAACGGUAGCUAAUACCGCAUAACGUCGCAAGACCAAAGAGGAGGACCUUCGGGCGUCUUGCCAUCGGCUGUGCCCAGAUGGGAUUAGCUAGUAGGUGGGGUAACGGCUCACCUAGGCGACGAUCCGUAGCUGGUCUGAGAGGAUGACCAGCCACACUGGAACUGAGACACGGUCCAGACUCCUACGGGAGGCAGCAGUGGGGAAUCUUGCACAAUGGGCGCAAGCCUGACGCAGCCAUGCCGCGUGUAUGAAGAAGGCCUUCGGGUUGUAAAGUACUUUCAGUGGGGAGGAAGGGAGUAAAGUUAAUACCUGUGCUCAUUGACGUUACCCGCAGAAGAAGCACCGGCUAACUCCGUG